GUAUGAAAAUACUGUAAGUCGCUCUGGAUAAGAGCGUCCGCUAAAUGACGUAAA
rfam:Salmo salar isolate Sally breed double haploid chromosome ssa13, whole genome shotgun sequence.